rnacentral:rRNA from 1 species
GAUGAACGCUGGCGGCGUGCUUAACACAUGCAAGUCGAACGAUGAAGCCCAGCUUGCUGGGUGGAUUAGUGGCGAACGGGUGAGUAACACGUGAGUAACCUGCCCUUAACUCUGGGAUAAGCCUGGGAAACUGGGUCUAAUACCGGAUAGGAGCGCCUACCGCAUGGUGGGUGUUGGAAAGAUUUAUCGGUUUUGGAUGGACUCGCGGCCUAACAGCUUGUUGGUGAGGUAAUGGCUCACCAAGGCGACGACGGGUAGCCGGCCUGAGAGGGUGACCGGCCACACUGGGACUGAGACACGGCCCAGACUCCUACGGGAGGCAGCAGUGGGGAAUAUUGCACAAUGGGCGAAAGCCUGAUGCAGCGACGCCGCGUGAGGGAUGACGGCCUUCGGGUUGUAAACCUCUUUCAGUAGGGAAGAAGCGAAAGUGACGGUACCUGCAGAAGAAGCACCGGCUAACUACGUG